rnacentral:rRNA from 1 species
CUCGUGUCGUGAGAUGUUGGGUUAAGUCCCGCAACGAGCGCAACCCUUAAGCUUAGUUGCCAUCAUUAAGUUGGGCACUCUAGGUUGACUGCCGGUGGCAAACCGGAGGAAGGUGGGGAUGACGUCAAAUCAUCAUGCCCCUUAUGAUUUGGGCUACACACGUGCUACAAUGGACAAUACAAAGGGCAGCUAAACCGCGAGGUCAUGCAAAUCCCAUAAAGUUGUUCUCAGUUCGGAUUGUAGUCUGCAACUCGACUACAUGAAGCUGGAAUCGCUAGUAAUCGUAGAUCAGCAUGCUACGGUGAAUACGUUCCCGGGUCUUGUACACACCGCCCGUCACACCACGAGAGUUUGUAACACCCGAAGCCGGUGGAGUAACCAUUUAUGGAGCUAGCCGUCGAAGGUGGGACAAAUGAUUGGGGUGAAGUCGUAACAAGGUAGCCGUAUCGGAAGGUGCGGUUGGAUCACCUC